UGUUUCAACUGUGACAAGAAAAAAGGAAAAAAAGUCAUAUUCGUUUCUAAAUUCGGCAGUUUUGUUUAUCUUUCUCGACUUCUGAUUUCGUUUCGUUUAGGUUAUGUCUUAAAAAAUAAUUAUUUAUAAGCUGUUGAGUUGAAAUAUACCUUAAUGCAUAUCUAAAUAAUUAAAAAAAUCAAUUUUUUCGUCCCCCACGAAGAAACGAAACAGUAUUUUUGAAUAUUUGGAUUACAAACUAUUAUUUUAUGAGUUUUAUGUGUUGUGUUUACGUGAUGUGUAAUGUGUAUUUUGUACCUGCUGGAUAAUAUUUUGAAAUAUAUUUAAUUAAACAAAAAGCAUCUGUAUUACAGGUGUGACUGCUAAGUGGUCGUACUCGCCACUUUAACCAACCAUUGGUGGGACCAUGGUAGGACCUUCAGAGAUUAUAAUGCGAAUUUUUCAUACCAUGUAAAUCUAUAUACAUUAUUAAUAAAUGCGUUUGUUUUAUUAAAUUUGUUUUCUUAUACGGUAUGAGCGAAAAAAAAACGGCGUCUAUUUGUUUACGUAGAAAUAUAUGACAUCGAUAUUCAUUUCCAAGCCACCUCUGACGCCGUUUUUUUUUAUCGUAUGGUAUACACUUACAUAUUCCUUAUCCUUUAAAUCCGAUUUAUUUCUAAUAAUUAUAAAAAUAAGAUACCUGAUUGAUUCUUUCGAAAUAUUAUAAAAUGAGAUAUCAGGAAAUAAAUAAAGUUAAUUAUCUCGUUUGUUUUGGGAAUUC